rnacentral:misc_RNA from 1 species
AACUUUCAGCAAUGGAUCUCUUGGCUCUCGCAUCGAUGAAGAACGCAGCGAAAUGCGAAAAGUAAUGUGAAUUGCAGAAUUCAGUGAAUCAUCGAAUCUUUGAACGCACCUUGCACCCUUUGGUAUUCCAAAGGGUAUGCUCGUUUGAGUGUCAUUGUACUCUCACACUCUCUGAUCCUUUGGAUUCAGGGAGCGGUGUACUUGGGUGUUUGCUGCUUUCCUAGUGGCUCACCUCAAAUGCGUCAGUGCACCUCUUGGUUGGACAUAGUACGGCGUGAUAAGUAUCUUCGCCGGCACCUCGCGAGAGGGUGGCUGAUCGGGAGCUCUGUGCUUUCAAACCGUCUUCGGACAAUCUCUGACAACUUGACCUCAAAUCGAGUAGGACUACCCGCUGAACUUAAGCAUAUCAAUAAGCGGAGGCU